AAUAGAUGAGGGAUGAAAAGUACUCUUUUGCCGUUUCUUCUGUUACAAUGGAGAUCGCUAUUGGUGUUGGAGGAGCACUCCUCUCGGCUUCUGUUCAACCACUCAUUGAAAGGCUGACCUCUCAUGAACUCAACAUCUUUGCCCGGCGGGAGAAAAUCCUUGGUGACCUCAAGGAUUGGGAGAUGAUGCUGGCCGAAAUAAGCUCUUUGCUUGAUGAUGCUGAAGACACGCAAAUGGCGAAUUCUGCAGUGAAAAUAUGGCUUGAUGAGUUUCGAGAUCUGACCUAUGACAUCGAAGAUGUGUUGGAUGAGUUCAACACCGAAGCUUUGAAGCGCAAGGUGAUGGAAGAUUCUCAGGGAAGCACAAACAAGCUGCGAAAGUUCAUCCCCACUCGUUUCAUUUCUUUUGGGUUCAACAUUAAGAUGGCAUCCAGGAUAAAAGACAUUACUAAAAGAUUACAACGUAUUAAUGCAUGGCAGAAGCAGACUCUCAAUUUGAGAAUGCUUGUUAAUGGGACGAGAUCGAAGCAGCUGAAGGAAAGGCCACCGACAACUUCGACAACUUCUUUGGUAGAUGAGUCGGAAAUUUAUGGCAGGAAUGAUGACAAGGAAGCUAUUACUAAGAUGCUGUUAUGCAAUGGAGAAGGUGGUGACAAUUCCAUUUCUGUGAUCCCUAUAUUAGGGAUGGGAGGAAUUGGUAAGACUACUUUAGCAAAGUUAGUCUACAAUGAUUCUGCUGUGCAAGACUAUUUUGACAUCAAGAUAUGGAUAUGUGUUUCUGAAAAUUUUGAUGUUAUCUACUUAACGAGAACAAUUCUAUGGUAUGUAGCUCCAGAGGUCCGUGAUUUAAAAGAUCUUAAUUUGAAUUCACUUCAAGAAACAUUGAAAAAGAAAUUAUCUCAAAAGAAAUUUUUGCUCAUCCUAGAUGAUGUCUGGGAAGAGGAUUACAAUCAAUGGGAUCUACUACGUGCACCUUUCAUUUCUGCAGCAAGUAGUAGCAAAAUAGUUGUCACCACUCGUAAGAAAAAUGCUGCACCGAUCACUGCUGAUGUCCAUGCCUAUCAUGUGAAGGAGUUGCCAGAUGAAGAGUGCUUGUUCUUAUUGGCUCACCAUGCUUUGGCUGCACAAAGCUUUGAUGCACACUUAGAUCUAAAGGAUAUUGGUCUGGAAUUGGCGAAAAGGUGUAACGGACUUCCAUUGGCUGCAAAAGUAUUGGGAGGUCUCUUGCGCAAUAAACGAAGCCGUGAGGAGUGGGAACGUGUAUUGAGAAACAAAUUGUGGAAUUCCCGAGAAACGAGCAAUAGUGUCCAUCCGACUCUAAAAUUGAGCUACAAUGAUCUCCCUUCUCAUUUAAAGCGAUGUUUUGUUUAUUGUGCAAUAUUCCCCAAGGAUUAUGAAUUUGAUAGGGAUGAGUUGGUUUCGCUAUGGAUGGCAGAAGGUUUCUUGCACUAUCCCCAUGGAGGGAAGCUAAUGGAGGACUUGGGAAUUGAAUACUUUGAGGAUUUGGUAUCAAGGUCAUUAUUUCAGUCGUCGGUCAUUAAUAAAUUGCUCUUCCCAUACCCUUAUCGAGGACUAUUCUUUGAGCCAUCGAAAUAUAGUAGGAUAUCAGUAUUUGUGAUGCAUGAUCUUAUAAGUGAUCUUGCUCAAACUAUUGCAAGAGAAAUUUGUUAUAAUGAUGAGGCUAUGUUAGAGGAUGAUAUGUCAACUAUACUAUAUCAAAAGGUCCGUCAUGCAUCUUUUUCCUGUCUCAAAGAUAUUGACUCGCAAGAGUAUGAAAUCUAUACUCGAAUGAAGAGGUUGAGAACAAUUGUGGGUUUUCCAAUUUGGCGAAGAGGUUAUUUGCCUGACUGGAGAGGCUAUGAAUGCAAGAUGCUGUACAAGUUAUUGGCACAAUCAAAAUGCGCAAGGGUGCUAUCUCUUACUAUUCCAGAAAUAACAAAGCUACCGAAUUCAAUUGGAGAUUUGAUACACCUACGAUACAUCAACUUAUCUCAGACAUAUAUUCAACAGCUUCCAGAGUCAGUGAGUAGUCUCUUUAAUUUGCAAACUUUGCUAUUGUGUUAUUGUCAUUUCCUCAAGAAGUUGCCAGAUAAAAUUAGAAAUCUGGUGAACUUACGACAUCUUGAUAUUUUUGAGACAUUUAAGUUACGAAAGUUUCCAUCUGGCAUUGGUAUGUUGACCAAUCUUCAGACUUUAUCCAAGUUUAUUGUGAAAGAAGGCCAUGGAACUACAAUUGCUGAACUCAAGAACUUGAAUAAUCUUCGCGGCAGUUUAUCUAUUCGAGGGCUUGAAAAUGUACAAGAUGCAAAGUCAGCAAAUUUAAAGGGGAAACAAGGCCUUGAAGAAUUGGAAUUAAAAUGGAGUAUUGGUCAUGGAAGGAAUGACAUGUCGAUGCUUGAAUCACUUGAACCUCAUCAAAACUUGAAGAGGCUUACCAUUUCAUCCUACUGUGAUGCUGAAUUCCCAUCUUGGAUUAAUAAUAUUCAUUUGUUUUCUAAAUUGGUUUCCUUAACUCUGAGGGAUUGUAAAGAGACCAAACUCUUACCACCACUUGGGCAUCUUUGCUUACUCAAAGAGCUACGCAUAAUUGGAUUGGAGGCGGUGAAAACCAUAGGUGUGGAGUUCUAUGGGAAUGUCAUUGUGCCAUUUCAAUCGCUAGAGAGGUUGGAAAUUGGUCGUAUGUCAGCGUGGAGGGAGUGGUCUCAUGGCAAUAUGGGUGGUGAAGGAUUUCCUAAUCUUCAGGAGCUUAGGAUAUAUUAUUGUCCUAAACUGAUUUGGAAUUUUCCAAGUGGAUUGCCAUGCAGUCUAAAAUGCAUUAGAGUUAGCUUUUGUGAUGCUCUCGAGUGUUUCCCGAUGAUAAACACUAGAGAUGGAAGGGAAAGCCUUCUCGAAGAACUAAAUAUUGAAGAUUGUUCUUCUCUCAAGUACUUCGAAAGAAACUUCCAGUUUCCUACCUCAUUAAGGAAAUUGACAAUCAGGGCUUGUGGAAAUCUAUUGUCUCUACCGGAUGGAUUGAUGGUGCAAGAUGACAACACAAACCAGGCUCAGUCUGAGUCUCAUCUCGAGCAAUUGGAGAUUGCGGGAUGUCAGGGGCCUACCUCCUUUCCAGCCGGCAAAUUUCCUGCUGCUCUUAAAUUCCUUACAAUAAGGGGUCCUAUUUGUAUGCAAUUGGAAUCAGCUAUUUCAGAGAAGAACACGGCACUUGAAAGUAUUAGAGUUUUGGAUGACGAUAACCUAAAAGCAUUGCCCUCCAUUAACUGUUUGCCAAGUCUCAGGUCUCUGUACAUAUGUCGUUGUCCUGCUUUAGAGUCCUUCCCAGAAAUGGGCUUCCGCAGCACCAGUCUUCAACACCUUCAUAUAGAAGAAUGCCAAAAUCUGAGGCAGCCAAUAGCAGAGUGGGGAUUAGGCAUGCUAUCCUGUCUUGAGAUACUUACAGUCAAUGGUGGAUGUCCUGUAACUGCAGAUGUGGUAUCAUUUCCAGAUGAUAAUUGUUGUUGGCUUCCCACCUCUCUGAAAUAUCUCCGUAUAGGAUAUUUCACGAGUCUAGAAUCUGUGUCCAUGGGACUCCAAAUGCUCACCUCUCUUAAAUUUUUACAUAUCGGAGGCUGCCCCAAGCUCCGAUCCCUGCCAAAGGAAGCCCUGCCUCUCUCUCUUGCAAUAAUAGAAAUCUCUGGUUGUCCGCUCCUAAAAAAAAAACUACUUAAGGGAAGAAAGGGAUUAAGCGUCAGCUAUUAUGAUUGAGAAGAUAAUCAGUGGUGCUAUUAUUUGUAGUCCAUUUUCAAUAUAGCUUCAGAUUUUACGCCAACUGGGUCUCUUUGAUCAUACAAGACAAGUAAUAAAUCAUAGUCAAUCAGAAUUUAAGAAGUCCUGCAGGUCGCUGAACGAGUUUUCUGAGGUCGUUUUAUCAAAAAGUGGAUAUUGAUGCAAAAUGGUAGCGGACUAAGUCGGUUUUUUUGUUGCUGAACAUUAUUAGAUGCCUUCUUUUUCUUUUUUUUUUCCUUCUUUUUUUGGGUAUGUUCUUACAUCUUAUAUUGAUAUUGAAUGAGUGGUCAACAGAGAUUGGGUGAGGUCCAUGUAUAGUUCAUAAUUCACUACUCUGCUGUGCACAUUGUAAUGUUUUAAAGACUUAAAAGGAGGCUCGAAACCAA